rnacentral:lncRNA from 1 species
GGAAUGUCAAUCGAAACCUCGCAAGGCUUAACAUCAGUUUUUCUCGCUUCCCCUGUGAGUAUUAGUUACUAAAAUCAUGUUUUGAGAGAUUAUAAACUAUUUUCAAAUCAAAACAAUAGAAAAAUAAUUUUUUUCUCAUAGGGGCAUUUUGGUCAUUUUUUCCCAAAAAUUUUGAAACCAGCUAAAAAUGUAGUAUGCGAGAAUAAAACACAUAAUUCAUAAUCAAAAAUAAGUUUAAACGUCUAUAACCUUCAUUUAAAAUGAAAUUAUGAUUAUUUGGAUAAAAUAAAAAAAAUAAAAAAAUAUUCAAUAAAAUAUUCUAUUCUCUUAUAAAAUAAUAUUUUUAGAGUUAUACAUAAAUAAUUUGUUGUAGUGUAAAAGCAAAAUAAAUUCAUACAUACUGUAAUACAAUAAGCCAGAGUAUUUAAUUUAAUUUACAAUAACUAGUGGGCCCCUGAAUAACUAAAAGUAAGAAAGACUAUGAACUUACAGUUUGAAGGAUGCAAAUCCAGUGGUAGCCUCGAUGAAAUCAGCUAUCUACAGCCUAUUCUGAGCCUAAAAUGGGUGAAAAUGAGGGUGGUGAGAUUAUAUAAUCCCAGUGAGUAAACAAAUACCAUCUAAAAUAUUUAAAGCCAAGUAAAUCGAGAUAGAUAAAAUAGUUUAACAUACUGUAAUUCAUCACCUUUCAACUUGUUUCAACCAAACAAAAUCAAUUCAUAUAAAUCGAGUAAUUAACAUGGCUUAUGAAUUUCUUAAAAGUUUGGCUCAUGCCAAAAUCAUUCUCAUACUCAGUUAUCAAAGAUACCUCGAUUGAGGGCUAUCCCAACCGAGUCUGCCAAAGCUGUUAAAAAGUUAUGUACGCAUAAAUCAUGUUUUUAUUUUGAAAACAUAGUUGUUCUUUGGCAUUGGCUGAGUUCACCCUCACAUGGUGGUUUGGCGUGAAGUGAACUCUAAAGUGUUAACCUCAGGAGUUAUACAUCCGUACCUCUCAUACUGAGGUAUGAAUAUAAUAGGGUUACCGUGCCCCUCUAAUAGGCUGGGCCACGGAACUCGUCCACUGCAACGACUAAUUUAUAACCCACCAUACAAUAAAAUUUGCUAUAGCAUGACAUGACCAUUAUUUUAUUUUACAGCCUCUCAAGGCAAAUUAACCGUUCAUACAUUUUCAACACAUUUACCAAAUCAACCAUUCAUGCCAAUAUUAUCAUAAGCCAUUCAAUUAGAACCAUAAAUUCACAAUACAUCAAAUGGUCUCCAAUUACUCUAUUUUCAAAGCCAUCAUUCAAUUUCAAAAUAAUUUAUAAAAUUAUUUCAUUUUAACACAUUUUGUUUAUAAAACCUAAAAAUUUACCAUUUAAACUCAUUUUUCAUAAAAUCACAAAAUCGGAUAAAAACCACUUUAGAUAAUUAAGACGAUAGUAAGGUUACUCACUAUUUCGGGAGUCGAAUUCUGAGUACUCCGAUUCUUGAUCCUCGGGUACUAUCUCUUUACUUUUGCCAGAAUGCUCACCACCUAGACAUAAUGCACAAUAAGCCAUUUGCUACAUUUGUGCUAAAUUGUUAUCAAACCAAUUCAGGCUCUAUACUAAUGCAUGAAAUGGGAUGUGAAAUACUCGGGUAACUAUCUAAAUACGGUAUUCCAUAUAAAUUCAAUUAUGUACCUAAAUAAAAUGGUAUUGGCCUAAUUCGAUCUAUCACCCGAUUAGUUGGCCAAUACGUCCAAUUCAACUCCAAUUAACUCCAUUUUUCUUCCAAUUCUCCAAACCAUCAAACACAAGUUAAAUAACUUGAAAUAUGGCAAAAUCAUUCUCACAUUUUCUCUUGGAAACUUCGGCCAUGGUCGGUGGAUCAACACUAUAAUUUUUCCUACUUGAUUCUCACACCAUAAAUCACUAAUUCUUAACCAAAUCACUUAAAAUAAAAUCAAAAUCAUCCUCAAUAUUCCACAUGGAGAAUUCAGCCAAUGAUGGGUGAUGGAAGAACAUUAAUUUUUCUUUCUUGAAUUUCAUGCUACACAUCACCAAUAAACUAAAAACACUAAAAUACAUUGAAAUCUAACCAAAUCAAGCAUCAAAACCUCUCUCCUAGGGUUUGAUCAGCACACUAUCCUUCAUGAUAUCUUGUGAUUCAACCAUGGAAAAUGCAAAAUAAUGCAUGGGAAAGGUAGAUCACAAAUCAAAAUCAAGAAAUUUUACCUUUGAUUGCUUGAUUACUUGAAAUCCACUAAUUUUCUCUUGAAUUUUCACCCUAGGGUUCUUGUUCUUCCUUUUUCUUCCUUUGUUCUUGCUUUGG